rnacentral:rRNA from 1 species
CCUACGGGUGGCAGCAGUCGAGAAUCAUUCACAAUGGGGGAAACCCUGAUGGUGCGACGCCGCGUGGGGGAAUGAAGGUCUUCGGAUUGUAAACCCCUGUCAUGUGGGAGCAAAUUAAAAAGAUAGUACCACGAGAGGAAGAGACGGCUAACUCUGUGCCAGCAGCCGCGGUAAUACAGAGGUCUCAAGCGUUGUUCGGAAUCACUGGGCGUAAAGCGUGCGUAGGCUGUUUCGUAAGUCGUGUGUGAAAGGCGCGGGCUCAACCCGCGGACGGCACAUGAUACUGCGAGACUAGAGUAAGGGAGGGGGAACCGGAAGUCUCGGUGUAGCAGUGAAAUGCGUAGAUAUCGAGAGGAACACUCGUGGCGAAGGCGGGUUCCUGGACAUUAACUGACGCUGAGGCACGAAGGCCAGGGGAGCGAAAGGGAUUAGAUACCCCUGUAGUC